UACGGAGGGGGCGAGCGUUGUCCGAAGUUACUGGGCGUAAAGCGCGCGUAGGCGGGUCAACAAGUCCGCUGUGAAAGCCCGAGGCUUAACCUCGGCGGGUCGGUGGAUACUGUUGGUCUUGAAGGUGCUAGGGGGAGAUGGAAUGGCCGGUGUAGCGGUGAAAUGCGUAGAUAUCGGUCGGAACACCAGUGGCGAAGGCGGUCUCCUGGGGCAUUCUUGACGCUGAGGCGCGAAAGCUGGGGGAGCGAACGGG
rnacentral:rRNA from 1 species